rnacentral:misc_RNA from 1 species
UCUAAAAAAUAUCAUAACUCGAAAACGAUUCGGAUACCCCAAGAGGUGCUCUAUCUCUGGACCUCCGCUUGAUACUAUUUAUUGGGACACCCUAUAUAAGACAUAGAUUUGGAUCAAAAAAUGAAAUUAAAAACGAAAUAAACUAACGAAUUUAUCUACAUCUAUUGAUUAUGUAUUUUCAUUGUCGAUUAAAAAAAUAUUAUUGCUCACUGUUUGACUAAAGCUGAAAAAAUAUGUUGUAUUAUUUAAUUGUAUUUUAUAAAACAGUAUAUCAAUAUCUACUCAUAUUCACUUUCUUUGAGCUACACUUCGCCUAAUACCAGGUGCAGGGAAGCAGCUUUGUCGAACUUCGAUAAAAAAAAGAGAUAUUACGUGAUUAGAUAAUGCGAUUACUAACAAAACGUCAUGCAUCGCCUACUGAUCUUGUUGGCAACUUAAAUGUAGAAGAACAACGAUAAAAUAAUAUUAUUACUUGACGAUUAAGGUAACAUGAUUCAACGAUCGAAUAAACGUUGGAAGAUACAUAGCUGAAGAUAGUGUGUAUUAUACGAAUCAACGCUAAACAAGUCAUUAAGAACAUGAUACAUAUUAUAUUGAACGAGAAAUGAUUCAUAUUGAUUAUCGCUAAGAUAAAUUAUUAUAUAAAUGCGCCUGUAUUUGAAUCAAGUUUCACUACAAUUCAGGCCGGCAAGAUGGUACUACAGUUCGAAGGUGCAGUUAAUAAUAUCAGUGAGGUCCAGCUGGCUUUCAUUCGCGACGUCCUAGAAAAAAGAGGAUAUAAAGAUACCAAAAUAACUAUUGAAGCAGUGGGUAAAGCAGGAGACAACUACUUAGCCAAUGUUAAAAGAGUAAUUGCUAAAAACGAACAUGGAGAACUCAGAAUGAUUGCGAAAAUUGCGUCACAACAUGAAGACUUAAGGGCCUCCGCAUCUUUACUGCAACUUUUCAGAAACGAACAUAUUUUCUAUACGUCCGUCCUUCCUAAAUAUCAACAGUUUGAAGAACAAGCAGAUUUACAUAAAAAUGACAGACUAAAAUUUGCAGAAUGUUACGGCUCAUUAUCCGAGCCACCGCAUGAAGUGAUCCUUUUGGAAGACUUGCAUGUAGCAGGCUUCAGCAUGUUGGAUAGAUUCACGCCACUAUCAGAUCAGUGCAUCAGGUCAGUGUUGAGAAACCUUGCCAUUCUGCAUUCUCUUUCCUUCGCACUUAAAUAUAAAGAACCAGAAACAUUCAAUGAAUAUAGAAAGAAUCUUGUUGACACGGCAGCAAAUGUAAACGAACACCCAGAGGUACUGUAUUUCUUAUCCCAUAUAGAAAAUACUGCCGCUGCCUUGGUCGAAGGAGAUGUGAGAAAAAGGCAUUUAAAUAAAUGUGUUACCUAUAGUUCGGCGCAGGGCAGCAAGAUGUUAAAAGAGGUCGCAGGUUCGAAACAGUCCGUCAUCCAACAAGGAGAUGCUUGGACUAACAAUAUAUUAUUUAAAUUUGAUGGAGAUUCAGUUGAAUCAGUGAUGAUAGACUACCAAAUGGUUAAAGAAAACAACCCAACAAACGAUCUCAUGUUCAUGAUCUUCGCCUGCAGCGACCACGAAGGUCGUGUGAAACAUUUCAACGACUGGCUCGACUACUACCACUCGGAGUUAGACAAAAGGCUCCACGACUUUGGUCUGAAAGCCAACUUCGUGUACCCUAGAGACCAGUUAGACGCUGACUUGAAGAGAUACGCCAGGAUUACGCUCGGUACAUUAGUUCUGUCAGCGACUGUUAGUGCAAUACAACCUUCCAAUGCUGAGAAACUGAAAGAUGCUAUGGAAGAAUAUUACGAACCUGAAGACGAAGCAGAAAAAGAAGCUAUGAUGAAAGAUUUUCUUUCAUUUGAUGAUAAAUAUAAGCAAUUAUACAAGAAGAGAUUGGAAGGAAUUACUGACAGUUUUAUUAAGUUCGGACUGUUGUAAAAAAUAUAAAAUUUUAAUUAAGGUUAUUUAUUUCUCAUACAUAAUUAAACCAUAUAUUGAUUAUUAAGGAAGAUAAUUAUAAUGAAGCCUAAUUAAGGCUAUGAAUAUAUUUCGUAUACCUAUUUGCUAAUAUGAUCUUUAUCUAAUUCUGAUAUUUAAUUUAAAUACGAGCUCUGUCAAAUGGAGCUAUGGAUCGCUACAAUGUAGUUUAGCAUAUUAUAUGUAUGUCGCUUUCUUAUUUUUAAUCCCGCAAAAAUCAUAUUAUGCUGAAUAGGCCUGUUUGCUCAUACCAUGUCAUUCGGAACAAGGCACAUUUGAAAAGUAGGAUUUUUUUAACUAUAUUUUUAUAUCGAUCUAUAAUGAACGUUGUGCGCAUAAGUGGUUUUGCGACGCUCCGUCUCGCUUCGCUAAGCGGCAUUUAGUGUGGCGGAAGAGAGUCCGUUUUGUAGCUAUGGCAGACGUGCAGUGUUUGUUUUUAGAUUCUAGUGUUGUUAUUGGUCGUUAGUUUAUAAGAAACUUUUUCAUGUUAUGUUUGUAAUAACUUAUACUAUUCUAGAUUGUUUUAAUGUUCAUUUUAUGUUUUCUUGUGCUUUUUUCUCUCCGAAAAUCUAUUAUUCGUGUAUUGUGUACUAUAAAUGUUUUUAAUAUUAUUAUUACAUAUUGGGACUAUUGCAUUAAGAGAGGUUUUUUAUGCAGGCAAAGUCGCGAUCAUCACCAUAGAAUUACAAUGAUAAAAUUUUUGACGAAUUGUUUGGUAGCAGAGAAGGAAACGUGGAAAAGGAUUUUAUUUUUCGAAAAAAUAAACUUAAUUUGCUAAUCGCAGACAUCAGGGUCGCUUUAAUCAUUUUUUAGCAUAGUUUACCCCCCAGGCUCGCGGAGCACGAUGUGGCCUGCUGACGCAUUUGCAUUUGCCCGCGAAGAGUCCUCUGCCUGAUUUGUCGUCAAACUUUGCAAAAUCAGUAGCUCAAAAACCCCUGCAGUUAACAUUUUUGUCAUGAAUUUACCAAACAUAUACCCACUGAUAUCUGGCCAGCAGGCGGACUUAGAUGCAAAAUUUGUAUCCACUUUCAAUAUUGGGACAGCCUUGAUUUAGCCAAUUACGGAAGUUGUCACUAUACUCCGUCCAACCACUUAUUUUACUUUUGACAUAAGCACGUCUAUGAAAAUCAAUAAUUAUUGUCAAGGAAAUUAUCUCAGGAAAUUAUAGAUGAAAAAACAUAUAAUACUUUCAUGGAUGCAGUUUUUUCUGUUCAAUAGUGAAGUGACUCUCUCUUUAGUUACGAUAUUUAUUGAGCCCACAGAUUGUGUUACAAAGUUAUUUAUUCCUUGUGCCUUGAAAAAAGGUGGCAGUGUAAUUAAAUAUUUAAAUAUACAUUAAUAUAGGAAAACAUGGUGUAUUUUCGUUAUCAUUCUCCAUAGCUAGUUACAGUUAAGUGUCGUGGGCGUAUACGGUCAUAGGUUGGAUCAAAAAUAACAACAAAGCAAGUUUUAGUGGUUAUAGUUUUAAUAUCAAAACAUUUAUAAUUCGCCAGUCUAUCACGCAAACUAACUACGGAACGUGAGACAGUCUUCCCGCAUACAGCACUAUUGCCAGUUGAUGUUAUUCGCACACUUGAUCACAACCAACUGAACGGCUACCUCGCCGACCGUUGAUAUUUCACCUGAUACCCCCAUUUCACUGUGUAGCGUAGAUUCUGUCGAACGCCGGUAGGUGGCGUUGUCAUUCUUUUUUAAAAAUCAACUUAAUGAUUCCGUCACACACCGAUAGAUGGCGUUAGCACUCUCCUUUAAAAAUCAACUCGAUGUCGGCAAAUAUAUUAUGAUUACUUCAUGGUGCCAAAUAAUAAAUAAGUACGUUUACCAUAGUGUUUCACAUAUAUAGUUUAUAUUACAUAAAAUAUAUCCAUUUAAACGUCUGGGCAUGUUUAUAAAAUAAUUUAUAUGUUGUGCAAAACUUAUAUAAUUUUUCAAUGUCUUAAAUCGAUUAAAAGUUUUUUACAAAUAAUAUCGAUUGUUAUAAGAAAUCGAAUCUGUAAUUCAUCAUCGCAUAUUGAUUAGUAUUCGAGCUGUCAAAAAUAAAAUAAAUAGUUGGACGGAGUAUAGUUAAUAGCCGGUAGAUCAUCUCUAUCAAAGGUUAAGGUCACACCGGCAACAUGGGACUCCAAUUCGAAGGUGAAAUUGAUAAUAUGAGUGAGGCCCAGCUGGCUUUCAUUCGCGAUGUUUUAGAAAAAAGAGGAUAUCAAGACACAAAAGUGACUAUUGAAGCAGUUGGCAAAGCGGGAGACAACUACAUAGCCAAUGUUAAAAGAGUCAUCGUCAAAAACGAACAUGGAGAAUUUAGAAUGAUUGCAAAAAUUGCGCCACAACAUGAAGGGAUAAGGAUGGCCACAGAAGUAGAACAACUAUUCAGAAACGAACAUAUUAUGUAUACUUUGAUCUUUCCUAAAUAUCAACAGUUUGAAGAAGAAGCAGAUUUGCAUAAAAAUGACAGACUAAAGUUUGCAAAGUGUUACGGAUCGCUAUCCGAACCACCGAAUGAAGUGAUCCUUUUGGAAGACAUGCAAGUAGAAGGCUUCAGCAUGAUGGAUAGAUUCACCCCACUAUCCGACGAAUGCAUCAGGUCAGUGCUGAAAAACUUCGCUAUUCUUCAUUCCCUCUCUUUCGCUCUUAAAUAUAAAGAGCCAGGAACAUUUAAUGAAUAUAAAAAGAAUCUUGUUGAUACGUGGACUAAAAUGGAUCAACGGCCUGACAUAACUGCAUACUUUUCCCAUGUAGAAAAUACAGCCGUUAUGACGGUUGAUGGAGAAGAUAGAAAAAGGUAUCUAAAGGAAUGUGUAAGCCAAGCUAUCCCACUGGCCUCCAAAAUAUCGAAAGAGGUUAAAGGCGCAAAACACUCCGUCAUCCAACAAGGAGAUUCAUGGACUAACAACAUAUUAUUCAAAUAUAAUGGAGACUCGCUCGAGCAAUCAGUGAUGAUAGACUACCAAUUGAGCAGAGAAAAUAACCCCACGUACGAUCUCAUGUACAUGAUCUUCGGCUGCAGCGACCACGAGACUCGAGUGAAACAUUUCAACGACUGGCUCGACUACUACCACUCGGAGUUAGACAAAAGGCUCCACGACUUUGGUCUGAAAGCCAACUACGUGUACCCUAGAGACCAACUAGAUGCUGACUUGAAGAGAUACGCUAAGUUUAUGCUAGGCAUAAUAGUUAUGGUGGCUACGAUUAGUGUUAUGAACCCUGCCAAUGCUGCAAAGAUGAAGGAUUCUAUGGAGCGUUUUGCCGAACCUAUUGAUGAUGAAGCAAAUGAAGCUUUACUUAAAGAAUUGAUGACAUUCGAUGACAACUUUAUACAAAUGUUUAGGAAGAGGGUGGAAGGAAUUGUUGACAGUUUUAUGAUGUUUGGACUGGUAUAAAAAUAUAUUUUAUUAAUUUACUUACAUAAACAAUUUAAACAUUUAUUUAGUAAGUAGGCAAGGAGUGUAAUAUUAUGAUUGAAAUUAUGAUUUUUACAUUGUCCUAUCAUUACGUAGUAUUUUAUUUUACUUAAAAUAUCAAGGAAAAUCAAUACACAAUACAAGACAGGCAACAGCGAUUCUUUAAAGUGAAGCCACUAAUAAAAUCCUGUAGUGGUGUACCGGUUUGAAGUAUAGUAUCCGUCUAAGCAAAGUAAUCAGCAUCAGACAGAAGAAGAACAGAUGCGUAUGAAAUGUGGUGUUGGCGCAAGAUGUUCAGAAUACCGCUGACUACACAACGAAUUAGCGUGUCUAUCCUAAAACAACUGCAUUUCGAACAAAGGCAAAGGCUUUCUGCGACCUGUUUGUUCAGAACCUUAAAGUACUUUAAACAUAUCGCCAGACGCGAAACAGACAACCUGGAUCAGCUGCGCAUGGUCUGAAAGUUGGAAGGCAAGAUCAUCGGGAUGAAACCCCAAAAGAUGGAUAGACCAUGUUUCCGAUGCAUUUAAUGUCUCCAUAAAUGCAGCAAUUCAUCAGACAAAAGACCAAAGUCGGUGGAGACAUAUUAUCACUAUGAAGAUAAUUGAGAGUAUCGUUACUCAAUACUCAAUAAGAUUGUAAGUGAUCAGAAGCAUGAUUAGCGCCACCUAUGUAGCUAAAAGAUAUGAUAUCAUAAAAUUUUACAAUAAACACCUAAAUUUACAGCUAGAUGUCGCUAGUAGUAUUUCGUAAAAUCUACACAAAUUAAAAUAAGCAUUGCCAAUCACGUCCGACUUUUUUCUUUCUAAUUUCUACAAUAUGGUAUGAUUACUAAUAAAUGUAUUUAUAAGUGUAUAGGAGUUCAUAUAAAUGUCAUAGAAUAAGGGAAAUAAAAAUGUUAUUACGUAAGAUAAUAUACUACACUAUGUACCUUAGGCAGCAGUUAAGCUGAUUCACUUCCUAUUGCAUUUUUUUUGUAAUUUUCUAUAUUUUUUUAUGUUUAUUUUUAAUUUUGUAACAAAAUUUAUUUUAGCAAUAAA